rnacentral:tRNA from 1 species
GGCCUGGUGGUCUAGGGGUAUGAUACUCGCUUUGGGUGUGAGUGGUCCCGGGUUCAAAUCCCGGUCAGGCCC